AUUGAACGCUGGCGGCAUGCUUUACACAUGCAAGUCGAACGGCAGCGCGGGCUUCGGCCUGGCGGCGAGUGGCGAACGGGUGAGUAAUGCAUCGGAACGUGCCCAGUAGUGGGGGAUAGCCCGGCGAAAGCCGGAUUAAUACCGCAUACGACCUGAGGGUGAAAGCGGGGGACCGAAAGGCCUCGCGCUAUUGGAGCGGCCGAUGUCGGAUUAGCUAGUUGGUGGGGUAAAGGCUUACCAAGGCGACGAUCCGUAGCUGGUCUGAGAGGACGACCAGCCAGACUGGGACUGAGACACGGCCCAGACUCCUACGGGAGGCAGCAGUGGGGAAUUUUGGACAAUGGGGGCAACCCUGAUCCAGCCAUGCCGCGUGCGGGAAGAAGGCCUUCGGGUUGUAAACCGCUUUUGUUCGGGAAGAAAUCCUCUGGGCUAAUACCCCGGGGGGAUGACGGUACCGGAAGAAUAAGCACCGGCUAACUACGUG
rnacentral:rRNA from 1 species